CAAUGGUUAAACUAGCGAUAGAACAUACUGCUAUUGCUAAAUAGAAAUAACCAAGCACCUGCACUUUGGAGCAGGACUUGGGCUGGUCCUAGGACUUGGACUAGGAGAGGCUGGUGAAAGAAAGUUGUUUCUUCACUCAGCUGAUUCUGCUUACUGCUGAGGGUAACUUUACAGGAGGUGCACUCUCAGAGUCACCGGCUUGCCAGAACUCUCCUGGAUUUACACACAGAAAUGCGGAGACAGAGAAAUGAAAACGAACUGUCAGCUGCUUCUGAAUCCAGAGCGCUGAAUGUUGCCGUGAGCCCAAAAUAACAAACUGUGUUUCAAGGCACAGACCCUGAAGACGAAGCACGCAUUCCUGAAAUGGUUCUGACAGCGGCGUUACGGAUAAGCUGCACGAGCUUCUUGAUCCGAUCCGGUAGCAGAACACAUGGCAUUGUUUGGAAAUCACAGACGUGUUCUAGAGAGGGUGGAGGGAAAAGAGAUGUCUGUAUCAGAGUUGGCAGUUGCACUUGUCUUUGUGGGAGAACAGGUUGCCUACAGAAUAGUGUAAGAAAGGGUCUUUUCUCUCUCUGAAGUUAUUCUUCAAUAAUUUAAUUUUGUACAUUUAGGUCCCUUCGCUGUAAGAAAGACAUUGAGGCCCUGGAGUGUGUCCAGAGAAGGGCAACAAAGCUGGUGAGGGGUCUGGAGCACAGGCCUUAUGAGGAGCGGCUGAAGGAGCUGGGAUUGUUCAGUCUGGAGAAGAGGAGGCUCAGGGGAGACGUUAUUGCUCUCUAUAACUACCUGAAGUUGUAGUGAGCUGGGGGUCAGCCUCUUCUCCUGUGUAACUAGUGAUAGGACUAGAGGGAAUGGCUUCAAGCUGUGCAAGGGAAGGUUCAGGCUGGAUGUUAGGAAAUAAUACCCCUCUGAAAGGGUGGUCAGACACUGGAAUGGGCUGCCCAGAGAGGUGGUGGCGUCACCGAGCCUGGUGGUGUUCAAAGAACAUUUGGACAUUGUGUUGAGGGACAUGGUUUAGUGAGAACCAUUGGUGAUGGGUGAAUGGUUGGACUGGAUGAUCCUGUGGGUCUUUUCCAACCUUUGUGAUUCUAUGAUUCUAUGAUUUUUUAGUCCUUAUUUUUGCCUUCAAGUGUCUCUCCCCGUUUCACCAGAACACCUGUCACUGCUUGGAUUUAAUGCUUUGUAACUCGCUUUGAAGAUCCACAAAUGACACUGAUGCCAUGCAGCAUUUUAGCUUUCCUUCCUAGAUUCUAACAGCUAAAGAAUCUGAGGAUGAUUCAUAAACACAGAAAUGUGUAGGUAAUAAAAAUCAGUGCAUAUAAAAUGUAUGUAACUAUAAAAUUUAACUUCUAGCUAUAAAAACUAAUAUCUACAGGCAGAGGAGAAGCACUUAUUAACCCUCUUACUGUAUUCAGGGCUUUUAAGGAGGUUUGUGGAAUGAACAAAUUUUACACUCAUUUUGGUAAAUGUGCCAAGGAAAGACCAUAUGGUGUUCUGCAGGCAUAAAAUCUAUUAUAAACUCCGUAUCCACUUCUCAGCUACUUUCUCAGAGCAGACAAUGAGGACCCGCAGGCGGUUUGUUACUUGGGAUUCAUGCAUGCUCCACACUCCUGGGCUCCUCCUGCAGAUCUCCACGCUUCUGGAGAGGUGUGAGAAAGCUGUACCUUGUGAUCCAGUACUCACGUUAACUGUUGUCCCCUGACAGUGUGCCUUCUGCAUCUUCCUGGGAAAACACAGUUCUGAGGCAGGGCAGGUUUUAAUGCAUGGAGCAAGACACGAUGCUAAAAUUCCCAUGGUUAGAGAAAGCUGUGAGUGGGUUUGGAGGAUGUUUGUCCCAAGCUGCCCUUGGUCACUCAGUGCACCCUAUUACUGCUCCAGAUUUGGGGGAAGAUGGAAAGCAGAGAGUGUUAUGCUUCAAACAGUGUUAUGGGCAAAAGGGAAACACAUUUGAAUCCCAUGAUUUCUUGUUAGCGUGAUUUAAAUCUGUCUUAGUUUCAGCUGGGAUGGAAUUGUUUUCUUCAGAGUGUCUGGCAUGAUGCUGUGUUUUGGUUCCAGGAGAAAAACAAUGUUGAUAACACACCGAUGUUUAUAGUUGCUGCUAAGCAGUGCUGCAGAGAGCCAAGGCUGUUCUCAGUGAAGGGCCCAAGGAGCUGGGAGAGGUCAGAAUUAGGACAGCUGACUUAAAUCGGCCAAAGACAUAUUCCAUAACACAUGACAUCAAACAGAAGGACUUUUGAAGGGGGUGGGAGUUCAUCUCACUUUGUUUCGCUGCUUGGAGGCUAGCUGGGGUUGGACAGGGAGUAGUGAGCAAUUGCUUGUGCAUCACUUUUUAUAUAUAUUCAUACCUAUAUAGUCAUCAUUAUUAUCCUUUUUCUCUGUCUUAGUAAAUAGUUGCAUUUCAACCCAUGAAUUCCACUUUUUUCCCCCUGAUUUACUCCUCCAUCCCACUGGGAAGGGAGGAGUGAGCAAAAGACUGCGUGGUGCUGAGCCACCUGCCAGGUUAAGCCAUGACACAAUCCUACCGCUCAGGUGCAGAAUCAGAUCUACCUACCCACUGCAGAAAAAGAAAUAAAACAAAGAAAUGAAUACUGCCAUGCAAGAAAGGUCUCAGUAGCCUUAACAAUACAGCUAAACGUUUUGCAAACACCUUUCUCAAUUUCUACCCCUUUUCCCAUUCUUAUCCUCACCUUUCCUCUUGGGCUUUGGGCUGGUGCAGAGCAGGUACAGCCACACCAGUCUCCUGCUGGGAGGAACACGGCUCCCAUGGCUCCUUCUUCCUCAUGCUUAGAAUCUGCAUAGGGGUCAUUUUUGUGUGGUUGCUAACACACAUCCACACCUUGCUCUUUUUAAACCUAAUUCAACUCUGUCAGUCCAUAAUGCAUCCAAAUUUACUCAAAAAGUGGUGCACGUUAGGUAUGUUUAAUACUUGUUCUUUAUUUCCCUUGUUGCUCCUGAAGGUGUUUCUGUCCAGAUGCAGCAUUUAUCUAACAGGCAGUGGGUGAACUGAUUAUAGCUGGUGGGUCUCCAGCACCAGCCUGCCCUCCAUCCCUUCUCAUCCCUUGCCUCUCUCCUCUUCACUGCACCCCAUUCACCACUUCUCAGGAGCUUUGUUAUCAUACCAACCCUGUCGUUCUCUAUACUUCAUCAUUACGUUAGUCACAAAUAUCUCAUUCUCCAUGGAGUAACUGCUUGUUACAACUGUCCGUAUAAAACUAUGCUAAUGCCAUACAAGAUGAAACAAAGCAAAAUGUAGGAAACUAAAUAAAAGCAAAACUCUGAGCAGGUCAAGACAGCCUGACAAACUGCUCCUGAGCCCUGCAGACUGCAAGCACUGUGACCAUUGCUCCAAUGGCAUCGCCCUGUUGCUGGUAUGAGGGAGCCUGCUCUGGGGGUCUUGCUCAUCACUUUACAUCACUGGGAGCUGUGUGCUGGCUGGUUUGCCCUGUUUUCCUCCCUGUCUGCGUGUGGCAGCUGGAAGAAGCAGGCAAGCCAAAAAAGUCAUAUUCUGCAACCCUUCUGUAUUUUCUGUGUAAAUGACUGUGAGUUUUAUUUCAGCCUGGCAAUGGCAGCAUUGAUGGGAGAAGCUAACAAGCAAUUUACUUCAAUGAGGACGUACUUGAGGCCCAAUUUGUUUCUGACUGAUGACAGCAGUAGUCUACCACUGGCUUCAAAGAAAGCUCGAUGAGCAUUACUCAGUGGCAGUAAUGCUGCAUCUCCUAUAGUCUGCAAUUGAAGUAGAAGAGAUACUGCAAUCUCUGUAAUUGCUUCACUGUGUAAAAAAGCUUUUGUCUUUGUAACAGGCUUUGUUUUAAUAUGAGCUAGAAGGCAUAUAAGAGUAUCUUCUGUAAUAAAAAUAGCUGUUGAUUCUUACUUCACGGGAAAGUCAGCACUGAAAAGAGAACAGGGAAAAUGUGCUUAUUUACAUAGGAGAAACUUAAAAGAAUGUUUUCAAUACCUUUCAUAAAUCAUACAUCUGAAAACUGAGAAUGGCAGUCUGUUUAGAAAUGCAAAUUUCAUAAUAAUAAAGCUGGUGAUGAUUGGAUAGCAAAAUUAAUAGGAUAAAGAAAAACCCAGCAUUAUAAUCUGUGCAGUUGAACUCCAAUGUCUUCAGUGGGGAUCUUAUUGAUGCAAGUUCCAUUCUUAAUUAAGGAGUUUAAUAUGACUUCUGAAUUUUUACUAGGCACUUUCAAAUGGUGCAUUCAUUGAGGUCUCUGUCUUUACUGGAUGGAUGUGUAGAUGUCAGCACAGCAGAUUGGUCUCAUGGCACUGUGGUCGCUUACAUUCAUCGUUACAGCAUUUGGGGGCUGCAGCUGCCGAUACGCACAGGGUGACCUUCCUGUUUCCGAAUGCUAUUAAGUCCUAAUGGCAGGAGACCUCUGCAUCCUGAGGGAAGGAUUUAAACCACCGAAACUGCGCCGGCUGGCAGAACAGAAUUUACCAGCCCUUGGAGGAAGGCUAGAUGGAAUCUGAACAACCUCUGGGUCAGCCUGUGGCAGCAGAGGAUCCCUCCUCCCAUGGAAGAGGUGUUCGUACCGCUCAGGUGCCGCAGUGCUGCGCCGGCAGUCCCACCACAGCCCCCAGCAGAGGCACCUGGCAGGGCUGCCUCCAGCCCAGCUCAACAACACGAGCUGAACGAGCCCAAGUGCUUUCUGAAAGCACAGCUGUGCCCAGAUCGGGGCAGUUCCUGGCAUCACUAGGUGCGAUUUUUCCAUGCUCAUAGCCAGCAUAGUUACGCCUCUGAAACUUUGUAGUAGAGACCUGGCUGGAAUCCUUCAGAUCCUCGCUCUCAGCCUUGGCAAAGCAAGCCCUCUAACUCUGUUGGAGCCAAGGCAGCUCAGCUCUUCCCAUUUAACAGUCCAGACCUUGUUCUUUCAGUGACCAGAAAAGUUGUUCCUGCGGGAAUGGCUUAUCUCUCUGUUCACUGCUUCAUAUCCUGCCUAAAACACUACUAUGGGAUGUAUGGCUGCUCUACUGGAUGCCAAUAUCCAUCCUGUGCUUUUGGAAAGGCAAUUCAAAUUCUGUGCACAGGCUUCUGGCAUGCUGAAAGCUUUUGGUUGCCUGUGUCCAAAGGGCUUACUUGUACAUGUGUGCAGUGCUGGGUUAGCUGGCAGAAAAUAUCACAUUUCCAAACCCUCUGCAAGGAAUCAGUGCUGAAGUUCUGCCUCCCUGAUCUUGUAUUGAUGUUUCCUUUGCUAAUGGCAUGUUAGAACACAAGUUUUAUUUACCCAGGAUAAUAUUUCAUUUUGUCCAUGUGCUGAGGUGAUAAAGUACUUAAAUACAUUGGAUGAUCUUUUCCUAAUGCCAUUUGGUGUGUUUAUGUUGUGUUGCCAUUUUUUAGAGAUAAAAAGAGGCUGAAAGAGCACCAGAGCAUGGAAGAGAUACUUAUGAGUGUUGGGCCAUCAUCAGAGGAAAAAAGAGAGACAAAUAUGAAAAAGAAUGAGUGCUGUGUUUAGUACUUUCUUCUCAUCCUUCACACGGGCAUUUCUGGAAGAGUUCUGGUGUGAUACAGUGUGGUUAAGAUAAGCAGUGGCUGCAAAAGUGCAUAAAAAGUUAGAGAUGACCGACUGCGAUUUUUGCCCAGCCACCUCACAGUGGUGCUUCUCUUAGUGGUCCCUCAUUCAUUUGGACAAAGUAUCUUAGCACGAUAGGAUGUGAAACUUGGCCAUGAGGGGAGGUACACAGAUAAUUUGCUGGUUCUUUCAGCACUUGGAGAAGUUGAUUAUCAUCUGAGAAAGAUUCUCAAAUAUUGUUGAGUGCUGGUUCAAAUGCGACAUAUAAAUGAAGUGAGUUGGGGCUGUCUGCUGAUAUCCUCUAAAGCUACACAGCAGUGCUUCUACAAGAAGUAAGUGCCAGGCAAAGAAACCUGACUUACACAAGUGCAACGUUAUGGACGUGAAAACAAUCAAUGUCCAGAAUGAAAGGAGGCCAGAGAAAUAGUGGGACUCCCAUCACCCCUGUUCUAUUUUAAGGAAUGGUUGCUAGAUAAUGCCAUUCAUGGAGAGUGAAGAUGAAUGUUCUCCCAGUGAUACUUUACAAUAUUUUCAGUGGUAUAUUUGCUCAGCUUUGUAAAAUCCUGAUACAAGGGAACAAGUAAUAUGCAUCAAGUUUAUCGAAGCUCAUUAAUUUGAUGAAAUAUAUUGGAAGGAUUGAUUUAUUCACAAUAUUAAACAGCUACUUACGUGAAACUCUGCUUUCUGACUGGUAACGUGAGAACACACAUUGGUUGCUUGCUAUUUUGUUAAUACUUUCACAAAACCACAUCAGCCUCUUUGUUUUUCUGCUGUUUCUCACAGUUCAGCAGACAGCAACAUGCACUUAACAAAAAUAGAGAGGCUUAGAGACAUGUGCAAGAGACAGCUUCAGAAAAACUCUCAAGACAUGCUAAUCAUCUCUAAGAAGAAAAUAUGUUAUUGGCCUAGUAACCAAGGAACAGACAAAGCUUCCAGGAGAUAUGCAGACUUUAAAACAAUCUGCAGUAUAAUUCCACAUAAAUGGCACCAAAACAAUCUCCAAGGGAGUUGCUGCAUCAUUUUGUCACAGCUCAGCACAACACUUGGUCACUAAAUGAUGCAGCUCUUUGAUAUCUCAUUCCCAUUUUGGUUUGCUUAGGCAAAUCCAGAUGAUCUCUGCCCUGUGCAUCAGUGGAUGCUACAAUCAUUAUGGCUGUGCUCAGGCCCCCAUUCCACAGGAAGAACCACUGGAAUUGUUUACUAUGGAGAAAAGGAGGCUGAAGGGAGACCUUAUUGCUCUCUUCCAGUACCUGAAAGGUGAUUGCAGUGGGAGCAGGGCUGGUCUCUUCUCACUGGUGACAGGACGAGGGGAAAUGGCCCCAAGUUGCACCAGGGGAGGUUUAGGUUGGAUAUCAGGAAAAACUUCUCUACUGAAAGGGCUGUUAAGCACAGGAAUAGGCUCCCCAGGGAGGUGGUUGAGUCACCAUCCCUGAAUGUGUUUAAAAACCAUCUGGAUGUGGUGCUCAGAGAUAUGAUUUAGUGGAGGGUUGUUAGAGUUAGGGUAGCAUGAUUAGGCUGUGGUUGGACUUGAUGAUCUUUAAGGUCUUUUCCAACCUGAGCAAUUCUACGGUUCUAUGAUUCUAUGAUUCCUGCUCUGGUCUUGGCCAGCACAGAUCACUAACUCCAACCCCUGGCACCUGCACCAUCCCACCAUUCCUUCUGCAGAUGUGAAAUUCAGCAUGAGCAAAACUCACCCAGGUCUAGGUCAUAACAAGCCCUAGGUUAGAAAAACGUGGUGUUGUCAAUUUUAGUUGGUGUUUUGACUAAAUAUGCAAGGAUUAAUGGUACAAGUGGUUAUUCCAGCAUAUCUGAGAGGCCGUAUCCUCUGGAAAGGUGAACAAACAGCAUGACAGUGGCGGUGGGCUGCCUGGCAUGGGGUGGGUUCUUGUUCAAAUAGCGUCCUCCUCUCACCAAGCAAUAUCUGCCCGUGGUCUAAUAUUGAGUUAAACUGUUCUUACCUUAAAUAAAUGAAAGAUGUCUUAGUGCUUCAUUAUUGCAUAU
ensembl:lncRNA